UCGCAGCCGCCGCUUCUCGCGUCCUCCCUGCGCUGCGUGUUCCCCUUCCUCGACGGCUGACACUAUUUCCCUCUCCCUCCAUGUUGGCAACACCGCAGGCGCAUCGUCGAUGCUGGCGACCCCUGCCUCCUCUGCGAUCUCCUCCAUGGCGCCCAUCCUUCAGCUCCUCACGGACUGAGAUCCGGGGCCUUGCUUAAGACAAGGCACGAAUGCGCUCGGCCUCUCCCGCGCCCUAUCGUCUCCUUCGCCCUGCUUGUCACCUCCCUACCGGCCUUCUCCACCACCACUGAGCCCCACUUCCCCAUGUCUCUCCCCAUCGCUUUCCUCUCGCAUUGGUAUCACUGGCUGAGCGACGAGGCGAAGUUGCGUCCGCUGAUAAUGGUGGUACUACCAUGAGGAGGUUGACUGGCAAUGCCUCCAUGGGCAAGCAUUGGUGUUUCAGGCUUGUUCCAGUAGCAUGUGCUGUUUUUUGGAUUUAUUUUUCUUCAAGUUAGAAUAGGAAUAUCAGUGCUUAGUUUGUAUCUUAGCCUGCUAGAUUAGAUGAAAUAGUUAGGAAAUAACCAAAUAUAUUUCGUAUAUUGAAACACUAACAAUGUUUGGUCUCCUACACUCCAAUCUCCAUUCUUUUGUGUUUCCUCAUACUACUUUAUUGAAAUGUGCAAUUCAAAAAACUGCAAGUGAGAUAACCAGUGUUUUCCAAUCCAUAUUCAUAUUUGGAAACUAUCAAACAUUUAUAAACCAUGGCUGUUGUAUUCUAUUUCCUCACUUUUUCAUAAUUAUUCAUGACUGCCAUGAUCGCUAACUUUUUUUUCCUUUGUAAUUGUAGCAAUAGGUUGCUAUGGGGCGUUUAUUGAUCACAAUGGGAGGAUAAGUUGUUUGAGUUCCGUGAGUUGCGGCAUUCAUAUUACUUCCACAGAUACAUGGUACGGAGCAUGAAAGAUGAUUGCAACGGAAGUGUUUGGUAUCAGGGCCAUUAUUCAACUCCACCGCAACAUCGGCACCUUGCCUUUGCGUGCAAUUGUCACACAACUGAUUUGGGCUGAAGUGGUUGCAUCCUCUUCUCUGUGCAAUUAAAUUGCCAUCAUUUCUCUUCUGUGGAGUGUGGAGACAAGCUUGCAAUUUUGUGUGUUUUUACACUUGUCAUCGAGGCCAUGUCAUUGUCAUAGUUGAUUCAGCACACCAAUAGGUAUAUGUGCACUCCAUUCUCCUCCAUAUUCCAUUACUUGGUUAGAUAUAUUAAUAAGUGAUGUAGUUGAGAAUGUGGUACGGUCAAACAAUGAAAGACCAUGGGAUGAUGGGAAUGAGAGUUGCUAAACAGUUUAUUCGUUGCCGUUGCUUGUCCAUGUGCUUAUCUCGAUUUGAGACAGCGAGAGACGAAUGGAUUAUUCCGUGACUCUCUAAUACUUCUAUUACUUGAUAUUUUGAUUUGUUUAGAUGCAUCCUUUCUGUGUUCAUUUAGAUUAGCUUACCAUUUAUUCCCCCUUGUUAUGCUCUCUAGCAAUACUGCCAAUGAAAAUGACAGUUCCUACACACCUAGGUGCGCUUUCUAUCUCUACCAUUGGCUACCAAUUAUUGGUUCUUACUCUGAGAUAAUGCAUCAUUUCGUCUUUGUUUUAUCCUCUUCAAGAUGUAUCUUUGUCCAUGCACAGAUUUACUGCUAUGGUGAACUUUCCAAUGCGUUUCGUAUGAUACCACAGCCUAAUCUCUUUUAGUACUAUCUGUUUUUGAUUUGUGGGUUUCCUUUUGUACCCCUCUUUUAGUAAAGUUCUGAAGUUAUUUUGAUAUGAACAAUAACAUCAGUUCUUAGUUAAU